rnacentral:rRNA from 1 species
AGAGUUUGAUCCUGGCUCAGAUUGAACGCUGGCGGCAUGCCUUACACAUGCAAGUCGAACGGCAGCACGGAGCUUGCUCUGGUGGCGAGUGGCGAACGGGUGAGUAAUAUAUCGGAACGUACCCUAGAGUGGGGGAUAACGUAGCGAAAGUUACGCUAAUACCGCAUACGAUCUAAGGAUGAAAGUGGGGGAUCGCAAGACCUCAUGCUCGUGGAGCGGCCGAUAUCUGAUUAGCUAGUUGGUAGGGUAAAAGCCUACCAAGGCAUCGAUCAGUAGCUGGUCUGAGAGGACGACCAGCCACACUGGAACUGAGACACGGUCCAGACUCCUACGGGAGGCAGCAGUGGGGAAUUUUGGACAAUGGGCGAAAGCCUGAUCCAGCAAUGCCGCGUGAGUGAAGAAGGCCUUCGGGUUGUAAAGCUCUUUUGUCAGGGAAGAAACGGUGAAAGCUAAUAUCUUUUGCUAAUGACGGUACCUGAAGAAUAAGCACCGGCUAACUACGUGCCAGCAGCCGCGGUAAUACG